rnacentral:miRNA from 1 species
CAUGUGCCUGUCUUCCCCAUC